GACGGGAGGCAGGAAGUAGCAGCUGGGUCGGUACGUUCCCUAGAAGUGCCAGGUAGUCCUGAGGCCACAGUGGAGGCAGGAAGUAGCAGCUGGGUCGGUACGUUCCCUAGAAGUGCCAGGUAGUCCUGAGGCCACAGUGGCGGGAGGCAGGAAGUAGCAGCUGGGUCGGUACGUUCCCUAGAAGUGCCAGGUAGUCCUGAGGCCACGGUGGCGGGAGGCAGGAAGUAGCAGCUGGGUCGGUACGUUCCCUAGAAGUGCCAGGUAGUCCUGAGGCCACAGUGGAGGCAGGAAGUAGCAGCUGGGUCGGUACGUUCCCUAGAAGUGCCAGGUAGUCCUGAGGCCACAGUGGAGGCAGGAAGUAGCAGCUGGGUCGGUACGUUCCCUAGAAGUGCCAGGUAGUCCUGAGGCCACAGUGGAGGCAGGAAGUAGCAGCUGGGUCGGUACGUUCCCUAGAAGUGCCAGGUAGUCCUGAGGCCACAGUGGCGGGAGGCAGGAAGUAGCAGCUGGGUCGGUACGUUCCCUAGAAGUGCCAGGUAGUCCUGAGGCCACGGUGGCGGGAGGCAGGAAGUAGCAGCUGGGUCGGUACGUUCCCUAGAAGUGCCAGGUAGUCCUGAGGCCACAGUGGCGGGAGGCAGGAAGUAGCAGCUGGGUCGGUAUGUUCCCUAGA